GACGAACGCUGGCGGCGUGCUUAACACAUGCAAGUCGAACGGAAAGGCCUGCUUUCCCUUGUGGAUUGCGGGUACUCGAGUGGCGAACGGGUGAGUAACACGUGAGUGAUCUGCCCCCAACUUGGGUAUAAGCCUGGGAAACUGGGUCUAAUUCCCGAUAGGACUGCAGGGUGGUGCCUGUGGUGGAAAACGAUUUUCUAGUGGUUGGGGAUGAGCUCGCGGCCUAUCAGCUUGUUGGUGGGGUAAUGGCCUACCAAGGCGGCGACGGGUAGCCGGCCUGAGAGGGUGGACGGCGACAUUGGGACUGAGAUACGGCCCAGACUCCGACGGGAGGCAGCAGUGGGGAAUAUUGCACAAUGGGCGGAAGCCUGAUGCAGCGACGCCGCGUGGGGGAUGACGGCCUUCGGGUUGUAAACUCCUUUCGACCGCGAGGAAGCCACCUGGUUGGAAGGGUGGUGACGGUAGUGGUAGAAGAAGCACCGGCUAACUACGUG
rnacentral:rRNA from 1 species